CGUGAGUAUUGCCGUUUUUCUGAUGACCGUCUUUCCCUUGCAGCACAUCUCAUGACCACAUUGAGUGUUUUUUUUAGAUAGCAUACAGAGAACAAGUAGUCAAGCAAUGCAGUUAACAUUAUGAUCUAAAGUUAUUUUUUUUCUUCAUCUGCGACUCCCGCCACAAGCACUGUAAUGGAAAUGAUAGCGUUUGGGG